rnacentral:rRNA from 1 species
GGUUCGAUUCUGGCUCAGAUUGAACGCUGGCGGGAUGCUUUACACAUGCAAGUCGAAACGCGUACGGACUUCGGUCUGGUGGCGAGUGGCGAACGGGUGAGUAAUGUAUCGGAACGUGCCUAGUAGCGGGGGAUAACUACGCGAAAGCUGAAGCAUUACCGUAUACGCCCUUCGGGGGAAAGCGGGGACCUUCGGGCCUCGCACUAUUAGAGCGGCCGAUAUCGGAUUAGCUAGUUGGUGGGGUAACGGCUCACCAAGGCGACGAUCCGUAGCUGGUUUGAGAGGACGACCAGCCACACUGGGACUGGAGACACGGCCCAGACUCCUACGGGAGGCAGCAGUGGGGAAUUUUGACAAUGGGGGAAACCCCUGAUCCAGCCAUCCCGCGUGUGCGAUGAAGGCCUUCGGGUUGUAAAGCACUUUUGGCAGGAAAGAAACGGCACGGAUAAUACCCCGUGCAACUGACGGUACCUGCAGAAUAAGCACCGGCUAACUACGUGCCAGCAGCCGCGGUAAUGUAGGCAGCAAGCGAACGAAUCUGGGCGUAAAGCGUGCGCAGGCGGUUCGGAAAGAAAGAUGUGAAAUCCCAGAGCUUAACUUUGGAACUGCAUUUUUAACUACCGAGCUAGAGUGUGUCAGAGGGAGGUGGAAUUCCGCGUGUAGCAGUGAAAUGCGUAGAUAUGCGGAGGAACACCGAUGGCGAAGGCAGCCUCCUGGGAUAACACUGACGCUCAUGCACGAAAGCGUGGGGAGCAAACAGGAUUAGAUACCCUGGUAGUCCACGCCCUAAACGAUGUCAACUAGCUGUUGGGGCCUUCGGGCCUUGGUAGCGCAGCUAACGCGUGAAGUUGACCGCCUGGGGAGUACGGUCGCAAGAUUAAAACUCAAAGGAAUUGACGGGGACCCGCACAAGCGGUGGAUGAUGUGGAUUAAUUGAUGCAACGCGAAAACCUUACCUACCCUUGACGUGUCUGGAAUCCCGAAGAAGAGAUUUGGGAGUGCUCCAAGAGAACCGGAACACAGGUGCUGCAUGGCUGUCGUCAGCUCGUGUCGUGAGAUGUUGGGUUAAGUCCCGCAACGAGCGCAACCCUUGUCAUUAGUUGCUACGAAAGGCACUCUAAUGAGACUGCCGGUGACAAACCGGAGGAAGGUGGGGUGACGUCAAGUCCUCAUGGCCCUUAUGGGUAGGGCUUCACACGUCAUACAAUGGUCGGGACAGAGGGUCGCCAACCCGCGAGGGCAAUCCCAGAAACCCGAUCGUAGUCCGGAUCGCAGUCUGCAACUCGACUGCGUGAAGUCAAUCGCUAGUAAUCGCGGAUCAGCAUGUCGCGGUGAAUACGUUCCCGGGUCUUGUACACACCGCCCGUCACACCAUGGGAGCGGGUUUUACCAGAAGUAGUUAGCCUAACCGUAAGGAGGGCGAUUACCACGGUAGGAUUCAUGACUGGGGUGAAGUCGUAACAAGGUAG